GGACCCGUAGCUCAGUGGUAGAGCGCUCGGUUCACAUCCGAAAGGUCAGAGGUUCGAGUCCUCUCGGGUCCA
rnacentral:tRNA from 1 species